CCUACGGGAGGCAGCAGUCGAGAAUCAUUCACAAUGGGGGAAACCCUGAUGGUGCGACGCCGCGUGGGGGAAUGAAGGUCUUCGGAUUGUAAACCCCUGUCAUGUGGGAGCAAAUUAAAAAGAUAGUACCACAAGAGGAAGAGACUGCUAACUCUGUGCCAGCAGCCGCGGUAAUACAGAGGUCUCAAGCGUUGUUCGGAAUCACUGGGCGUAAAGCGUGCGUAGGCUGUUUCGUAAGGCGUGUGUGAAAGGCGCGGGCUCAACCAGCGGACGGCACAUGAUACUGCGAGACUAGAGUAAGGGGGGGGGAAGCGGAAUGCGCGGUGUAGCAGUGAAAUGCGUAGAUAUCGAGAGGAACACUCGUGGCGAAGGCGGGUUCCUGGACAUUAACUGACGCUGAGGCACGAAGGCCAGGGGAGCGAAAGGGAUUAGAUACCCGGGUAGUC
rnacentral:rRNA from 1 species